GGCAGGAACAUCUUCAGGCUGCGUCUGAGGCAGUCAUUAAUUCUGUGAAAAGUGCAGGGCAUGGUUUAAAAUCCUUUACUUGCCAAGCUUGUGUUAAUGCAUUACAUGAUUAAUAUCUGAAUCUGGAAGGCAGUACCAGGAACAAUUUGCAUUCCACUCUGUAGCUCAACAAAGAGGGAAAAGGGUGAUUUCAGUCUCUUCUUCCUUGCAGAUCUGACUAUGUGACUGCCGUGCAGCUCAGAGGAAGCACCUCCGCUGUCAAAGAGCAGCUCCGAGCUACCAGGGGGUGAAGAGAGCAGCCACGGACGUGCGCAGAUGAAGCACCCGAGACAAGGUUUGCAGUGACAGCUAAACUCUUGACUACGACGAUGGAAGAGCAAACCGAUCGGGGAUUAUACUGAGCAGACAGAAUAAAAAAGAUGGGUGUUAAUCUGUCAUGUCUGAAAGGGCUGCAGGCUUGUUACAGAAGCCGGGAGGAGGUUCCCGCCGCGAUUUCCAACCACCACCUGAAUGUCCCUGAUAUUAUUGUCACACCUCCGACUCCCACCGGGACGCUGAUUGCCAGCGGCAUGGGGCAGGAGUCUCAGAAGGACACAGAUGAUAAAAUCUGUUGCUGAUAACGCCUCUGGGGAACUGAAGACUUUUCAUUAGAUCCGCCAAUCUUACCGUUAACACCAAAGAAUGCAGAGCGCCGUUACUGCCUUACUCCGCGUUCACAGCCGUGCCGGUGCCUUCACCGGGACCACAUGACCAAAAAAACUGAUGUCUUGUGCAUGAAAAGAAAAAUAAAUUACGCCGGACCACUGUGUGUAUGACCCCUUACAGGUAGAUACGGCAUAUUAAAAUAAUUCUAUAUGUGUAUCCGUAACAGCA